rnacentral:rRNA from 1 species
UACGGGGGGGGCAAGCGUUGUUCGGAAUUACUGGGCGUAAAGGGCUCGUAGGCGGCCAACUAAGUCGGAUGUGAAAUCCCCAGGCUCAACUUGGGAACUGCAUCCGAUACUGGAUGGCUUGAAUUCGGGAGAGGGAUGCAGAAUUCCAGGUGUAGCGGUGAAGUGCGUAGAUAUCUGGAGGAAUACCGGUGGCGAAGGCGGCAUCCUGGACCGACAUUGACGCUGAGGAGCGAAAGCUAGGGGAGCAAACGGG